AAAUGUGUCUGGAUGUGUGGACUACCGUAAGGGACCUCAUGAAUAGCGACAGCAACACCAAUGAAGAUGCUGGUAAACAACUGAUGAGACAAUGGACAGAACUUGUUUGUUUCUGAUUUGUGAGAUAUUUUUUUCAGCCUCUGAAGCCCCGAAUGCAACUGCAUAAGCCCAUGGAUCAGUAUCAGUAUCAGUAUCACCCUUCAUUCACUCCGGACACAGCACAGCAGGACUCCUCCUACACACACAAACUAUACACAUUUUGAGUAAGUUUUCCAGUUAUCUUUUAAUGGAACCAGACGCCUAUCAUUCCUCGUUUCUUGGCAGCCUAAACCUAAAACACAACCAAUGUUGCAAGAACUGAAGAACUCUUCAGGUUCCAAUGCAAGUCAUUUGAGAGUACAAAGAACAGAACACAUAACUGAUGGAAUUAAACCUAAAGAACAGGACGAUCAGGACAUAUCAACCAAGGGACAACAAUUGUCAGCUCACUUAUCAGUAUGAUUGCCUAAAGCAGAUCUCUACAAACAUAUAAUCAAAGGAAGAAUCCUAUACCCUCCUCACACGGAAAAUACCUAACCAACAAUUAGUUCCUAAAGGAAGAAAAUUCCAACUAACUUUAAAGAAAAUGAGAAGAAUUUUGAACCUCUGUUAUAUGCGGAAGAACCGCCGGAACCCCAAUUUGAAAUGGGAAUUUAAUUGAUACUUAUGUUUUGUAUACGCCUAUCAAAUAUCAUAGCUACUAGCAUUAAAAUAUAAGCCUUAAAUUGGUUCUUCUC
rnacentral:lncRNA from 1 species